UACGUAGGUGGCGAGCGUUGUCCGGAAUUACUGGGUGUAAAGCGCGUGUAGGCGGGAGGCCAAGUCUGUGGUGAAAUCGCUCGGCUUAACUGGGCGGGGUCCAUGGAAACUGGUCACCUGGAGGUCGGUAGAGGCAAGUGGAAUUCCCGGUGGUAGUGGUGAAAUGCGUAGAGAUCGGGAGGAACACCAGUGGCGAAGGCGGCUUGCUGGGCCGGACCUGACGCUGAGACGCGAAGGCGUGGGGAGCGAACGAGG
rnacentral:rRNA from 1 species